rnacentral:rRNA from 1 species
UACGUAGGGGGCAAGCGUUGUCCGGAAUCAUUGGGCGUAAAGAGCGCGUAGGCGGCCCGAUAAGUCCGCUCUGAAAGUCAAAGGCUCAACCUUUGAAAGCGGGUGGAUACUGUCGGGCUAGAGUCCGGAAGAGGCGAGUGGAAUUCCUGGUGUAGCGGUGGAAUGCGCAGAUAUCAGGAGGAACACCAACGGCGAAGGCAGCUCGCUGGGACGGUACUGACGCUGAGGCGCGAAAGCGUGGGGAGCGAACAGG